UGGGGAAUAUUGCACAAUGGGCGAAAGCCUGAUGCAGCAACGCCGCGUGAGUGAUGAAGGCCUUCGGGUUGUAAAGCUCUGUCUUUUGGGACGAUAAUGACGGCACCAAAGGAGGAAGCCACGGCUAACUACGUGCCAGCAGACGCGGUAAUACGUAGGUGGCGAGCGUUGUCCGGAUUUACUGGGCGUAAAGGAUGCGUAGGCGGAUAUUUAAGUGAGAUGUGAAAUACCCGAGCUUAACUUGGGUGCUGCAUUUCAAACUGGAUAUCUAGAGUGCGGGAGAGGAGAAUGGAAUUCCUAGUGUAGCGGUGAAAUGCGUAGAGAUUAGGAAGAACACCAGUGGCGAAGGCGAUUCUCUGGACCGUAACUGACGCUGAGGCACGAAAGCGUGGGUAGCAAAC
rnacentral:rRNA from 1 species